rfam:Selaginella moellendorffii unplaced genomic scaffold SELMOscaffold_293, whole genome shotgun sequence.
GCUGGCCGGGACACCCGGUCUGGCCGCAUGCACUUGGGUAAGCGACCUUGGGUUUGAAUAGUACUGGGCUGGGUGACCUCCCGGGAAGUCCAAACUCAGGAGCU